CUCCCUCGCUUGCUCCCUCACACACGCGCGGAGGGAGGCGAAGCCCGCAGCAGCCACUUCCCAACUUUCCAAACUUCCCAGCGCAACUUUUUCCUCUCCUCCCCUGCCCGCGCCUCCUCCUCCCUCCUCCCUCCCCCUUCCCCUUGCCUGCUCCCCGCCCGGCCGUAGCUUCCGCGUGCGGCCGCCAGAGGGCGCCCGGGCCGAGGCCUCUCUCGGCCAAACUUGGUGGGCUCUAAGGUGGAUGCGGACUUGGCGGACGGUAACAAAUUUGGGGGCAUGGGCCACCCUUGUCCAAAGCAUCUGAUGCACAGGUCCUGGCGGGAGUGAGCAGUGAGAGAGCCAGGAGUGGGCAGGCACCCCUAGACUGGCUGGGAAGACAGCACUCAAAGGAAUCCAGGGAAGCUGGGAAACUGAGGCCCAGUGCAAGGUGGCUGCCUAGAGUCAAAUAGCAUCUUGGAGAUGAAGCCAUGGCUCGAGUGAACACUCAAUAUCUAAAGUCUUGGAAAAGUGAGUGGUAGUUGUCCAUGAGGAAUUGUGUCCAGAAGCUCGUCUUUGUAUUGGCUGGUAAAAAUACAACAGGCUCAGAUUUGGCACCCCGGGGCUUGAAAGGCUGAGAGAGAGAGAGCAACUGAUGUUUCAUCCAGAUGUCCUUAAAGGCCUCCAGCUGUGGACCACAGGAUAUUGUUUCUUCCGAGGUGCCAGCCCCAACUUCUACCUGUAUGAAGGUGUGUGGCUCUGCUUGAAUAGAAAUUGAAGAGGGUGCACUAGAAAUCAAAUCUGGAAGGCAGAGAAUCCUGUGAGAGCGACAGACCUGGCGGGAAGGAUCCCAGGAGAGGAGAGUGUAUAAGAAGACAAAGAAGGUAGAGGUUGUCAUCUUUGAAGGGGGAAUUCUCUAUUCAAGACAGAGUCCUUAACUCACACUUGAUAAGUGGACAAUUCGAUGGCUGGAAGAAUGGAUGGUCUAAAUGGGUGGUGAUCCAUUCAAGGACUUACUGGAUGCUUCCUUAGACUCUGUGAUAAAUCAGACCCAGUCUGAUAGGACAAGUAUUUAAACUAUGAGUAACAGCAAUUGACUACUUAUUUCAUGUCAGGCACUAUUCUACGAACUUUAAAUUAACUCACAUGUCCUCACAACAACCUUAUGAGGCGCUAUGGAUGCCAUGGUGAAUGAGGUGGGCUCUAGCACUGAACAACCUACAGUGUUAUGACAGAGACAGACGGACAAGAGCAAUGCUAUCAGAACUGGGAACAUGGGCAACUACGCAGAAGAGGUGUUGACUGGACUGAUUCUCAAGUCUCCUCAGCUAACAAUCCUGAGUGGUCAGAUGCCCUCCUGCUGCUGCCUGAGUAGUUGGGCAGCUUCCAUUCAUCUUUUAAGCACCGUCUCCUCCAAGAAGCCAUCCAGACUUUCACCAGAUCUUCCAUAAGGCAUUGUACUAAAAGCUUUACUGUCCAAUCCUUGGAACGAUGCUGUGAGAUGGGUGGUAUUAUCACCCUACUUUACAGAUAAGUCUCCAGGACUUAGGGAAGUCAGUGAUGUCAUCUGAAUUUAACUCUGUCUGAGUUCAGGGUCCAAGCUCUUUCCACAAAACUAAUUAGCCUCUUCUUUAGGCUUUCUUCCUACCCUGAGUCCCCUGAGCCCCUCUCAGAGGACUCAUCACCAGGCUUUUAAUUAUUUGUUUACUGAGCUGCUGUUCCCACUCAUCUAGAAACCUUUCAGGAGCUGGACUAUAUCUGAUCCCUCUCUGUGACGAGGGGCCCAGCAUAGGUCCGGCACACAGCAGGCCUCAGUGAACAUUUGUGGAGAUGGAACCAGUCCAAAAAUAUGUCACAACAGUCCCCCGACUCCAACUGGGCAGAGUCUGUGAUUGAAAUGGUUACCCUUCUCUCUGGAUUCCACCUCAGCAGUAUGACCCCACCCUGUUGGCCCAGGUCCCUCUCACCGUCAGUUUUUCCUGGUCUCAGGUGCUCUGGGGCUAGCAAGGUGUGACAGGGAAGGAUGUGUGGUGACCAUACACGAGGCAGGCCGACCGAGACUGUGAGAGUAUGAGCUCCUGACUCACGCUGAAGUGAGGGUAAAGGCUGGGGAAGGGAGACAUGCCUGAGGAGAAGCUACACUUCAUAAACCCAGGAAAACCCAAAAGGCUUUGCAAAGGAGCUUAAGGAAUUUAGGAUUGGGACAAAAGGCUCAGAGAAUUGACCCUAAAAGCAGAAGGCAGAUCUGGUCAAUUCUUCAGACGUGGGUCUGUCGUUGGCGUCUGAGCGGCUGCUUCGCUUCCCCUGUCAAAGCCCAGCUAUGCUUGGCGCAUUCGUUAGGGUCCCAGCAGGCCCAAGGCUGUGGGAGCCUGGGAAGGAGCUCACCCGGGGGAGUGACUGACAGGUUGUCAGGCAGGCUGACUUUUGGUUGGGAACUUGGUUCAUAGGCAGAUCAGACAGCAGCUGAGAUCCCAGGGGAACCUGGCCCUGGUGAUGGAUGCUCUGAGACCUUCCUUUUUGCCUCUGCUCUGUCUCCUCUGCCCACCCCCCAACUUUUAUCUUGCUUUCUUGUCCUUUCCUUGGUCAUUGGCCAGUGGUGCUGGGGAUGGAAGAGCCGGCAGAUUCAUCAGGCAGGGAUGAAGGGAGGCUGGAGCCAUCAGUUUAUGAAUCAGCUCAGCUCUGGCGCUCCUGUCAGUUGGAGACAACGCAGCUGCAUCUGGAGUAUGUGCCCCAGGGGCACUGUGCUACAGAGGGAGAAAGAGGCUGCCAGGAGCAGACGGACCUGACCUCGAGCCCUGGCACCACCACUCAACAACUCUGUGACCUUGGGCAAGCCACUCGACUUCUCUAAGCCUCAGUGUCCUCCUCUGUAAAGUGGGGAUAAUAGAAUCUGCCCUGCCUAAAUCACAGAUUGUUGAUAGCAUCAAACGAGAAAAAAGUUUUCCAAAUUGCUGACAAUGGACAUCACCAUUCUUACUAACCACCUGGAAGGCUGGUGGGAGAAUGAAGCUCAAAUCCAGGUCUUCGAUUGAUGACUUCAGGUUGAGCUCCUCUGGGUCUGCCUAUUCAGUUCCAGGGAUUGAAAGCACAAAAAAUGGAGCCAGUGCUAUGUUUAACUGAUUAAAUGACUGAUCAACGAA